AUGGAGAGGCUGCUGUGCUCUCUGCUGGGGCUGCUGUGCACCCAGGUUUGCUGGGUGAAAGGUCAACAAGUGGAGCAGAGUCCUGUGUCCUUGGUUCUGCAGGAGGGAGAGCAUGCAGAGCUGCAGUGCAAUUUUUCCACCACUGCAACCCAAAUGCAGUGGUUUUACCAAAGUCCCGGGGGACACCUGAAGAGCCUGUUUUACAAUCCUUCUGGAACAAAGAAGAGUGGAAGACUGACGUCCACAACAGUCACUCAGGAACGUCGCAGCUCUCUGUACAUUUCCUCCUCUCAGACCACAGACUCAGGCACUUAUUUCUGUGCUAUGAAUGCACAGUGCUCCCCACACACCUGCAGCCAGUACACAAACCCUCAGCUGGGUGGGCGUGGCUUUUCCCAGUUACAAGACAUCCAGAAACCACAACAGAACAUCUGCUUGAUUUAA